CGCGGUGGUGUGCCGGGCGCGCUUCCUUUCGUCGGCGACAGACUAGCUGCCGUGGCUGAAGUUGAAGAGAACGGCAAAAAGCGAACCAACUGGAGAACAGAGCGAAGUGGAUCCGAGUGGAAGCUGCCUCCAUCUGCAGAAUGGAGAAACCCUGCCUGUUUGAGCGAGGAACUGUCCCAAUUAAUAGUCCUCGGCAGAUGACGUGACUAAUGUAUAACGCGGGGUCUGUGUGCGUAUCCAAAGGUAUGGCACGUCUGUGUAUCGCGUGUGUGCGCGUAAGUGCGAGUGAGAUGAUACGCGUCUAUGAACCGUCACGUUUCAAGAGCUGUGAGACACCAGCUGUACUCUCUCAGACGGAUGACGGUCGAGUAACCGGAGCCACGGAAGAGGGAGUAAGCAUGAGAGAAAGAGAGAAGCAUCCGAAUUAUACAUCUCUCCAGGCGGCAUCACGAGCGGGAGCUGCGAGCCCAUCGCUACAGGAGCUGACCGUUCACUGCCAGCCUGACAAGUACCGCUCCAGUAAGACUACUGAAGUGUCUAAGGAGAAGAGGGAGUGUAUGGGCACCGAGCCCUG